rnacentral:rRNA from 1 species
CACCGCGGUUAUACGAAAGGCCCCAGUUGAUAGCUACGGCGUAAAGGGUGGUUAGGAGGAAUAGAUAAAUAAAGUCAAAGAUUCUCUAGGUAUUAAUAAGCGCUACGAGAACAUGAAGCCCAAUCACGAAAGUAACUUUACCGUAUCCGACCCCACGAAAGCUGAGAAA